CUGUAGUGGAAUUUGGACCAUUAGCUGUUUUCGGUGUGGUAGUCGUGCUCGUUUUUGUGGGCUGGGAGGUGCGGGUUGUCGCAGUUGUAGCUGUUUUCGGUGUGGUUUUCGUGCUCGUUUUUGUGGGCUGGGAGGUGCGGGUUGUCGCAGUUGUAGCUGUUUUCGGUGUGGUUUUCGUGCUCGUUUUUGUGGACUGGGAGGUGCGGGUCGUCGCAGUUGUAGCUGUUUUCGGUGUGGUAGUCG